rnacentral:lncRNA from 1 species
AGUCUGCGGAAAAAAUGCUUCCAUAUGAGGAGAAUGUAUUAGUCUUCCAGGGCUGCCUUAACAAAACACCACAGACGGGGCUUAAACAACAGAAGCUCAUUUUCCCACAGUCCUGGAGGCUGGAAUUCACAGAUCAAGGUCUGGCAGGGCUGAUUCUGGGUAGAACCUCUGUGUGGCUUGCAGAUGGCUGCUGUUGGGCUGUGUGAUCUCAUGGGCUCCUUCCUGUGUGUGUGUGGAGGGAGACAGAGCAAACUCUUUGGUGUCUGUUCUUAUAAGGACACUAGUCCUAUUGGAUCAGGGCCUUAUCCUCAUGACCUCAUUUAACCUCAGUUAAUUCCUUAGAGGCACCAUAUCCAAAUACAGCCACACUGGGGCUUAGGGAUUCAGCAUAGGAAUUGGGGCGCAGACAGAAUCAUCCAGUCAGUGACAAAGAGUAAUGGUCAUGAUAUGAAAAUAGCUUCCCAUGCUCUUGAUUUGAGUGGGGGUUAAAGAACCCUUUCUCCACUCCUUGGGUUGAUGGAUAAAAAGGAAUAUGCGCAGGAUCUCAAUUUCUAUUCCCCACUCUGUCCAAGCUUCAACCACUUUUUGUUUGUUUGUUUGUCAAAGACCCCAAACUGUGGUUUUCACCAGUGGCAUCUCUGACUUUUGAUGUCAAGAUCCCUCCAAACCUAAUGAAGAUUUAAAAAUAUAUCUAAUGUCAGCAUGUUGAGCAGAAUGCUGCCUAUGUGCCCUGUAUCCCCAGAGUCAGAAGAAUAAACAUAUUUUUGUGACUUGUUCAUAUUUAAUUUUAAAAAAGAUAAAAUCACAGGCCCUGAAAAUAGAUAAAUUUAUAAGCUAUCAAAAAUAAAAUGUUAACUCAUGACAAAGCAAUGCAAAUGUUUAUGCCAAAGCCAAAUAUUCAUUAUUUUAUCCCCUCAUCUUUCCGUCUCUCUGUCUCUCUCUCUCUCUCUCUAUCAAGGUCCGGCAGGGCUGAAUAUACACACACAUCUCCAGUAUGUGUGGAAAUACAUCAAAUAAGUCUACAGUCUUUUUAGUUGAUUCACAACAUAUAUACAAACCAAUCCAAACCAACUACUGUGAUUCAACUCCAGGACUAGAAGGACCUAUGUGGGUGUGGAUAGAAGCAUCCCGAAGGAUCCCACAAUUUCACAGCAGCAGAGGCAGUGCUGACCCUGGAAGUGACUGAGAGUCUGGAGCCCUCGAUCUCCUCUCAACAGACCUCAUCCUUCCUGUGGAAUCUCAUCUUCAACUCUGUGCUCACCCAGCCCUUAUGCACUUUGUCUCUUCACCAAUCAGAGAAACAUUUUUAAUUCCUUAAACCUCCCCAAAUAUGAGGUCCUAUUUUUCAAUCCAGUGGCUGUUUAGACAGAAGAUUGAAAAUAGUCACCAAGUAGAAAACAGAUCCACAUUCAAAUUCUGGUACUGUUCCUUACCAGCUGAACAACGAUAGGAAAUUUAUUUAAACUCCUCUGACUCCUAGUUUUAUUUCCUGUGAAAAGAAGAUAUUCUUCUCAUAAGAUAAUUGUAAUUAUAAGAUCAAAUAUGCAGUUAACUAAUGUACAUAAAUUGUCUAACAUAAUAGCUGGCACACAGUAGGAGCACAGAAAAGUUGGUUCGAUUUCUCCCCUCCUCCAUGAAUCCUUUUGAUGACCCCUGCCUACAGUAGGCUUUUUCAUUCUCUACAUAUCAAAAGCAUUUGUCUGUGCCAAACAGCUGAGAAACCCAGCUGUAUAUUUUAUUUUCUCCAGCUGUUUCAUGGAAAUUCACCUUAUAGGACAUUUAGGCAGAAUGUUUUCUUGUUCUUUCAUAUCCUGAUCCAACACAGAAUAUUUAUUUAAUAACUACAAACUGACUUCCCAUAUUGAGGGUUUGAAGUAGUGGUUCUAUGAGGCUGUGAAUCAAAUAAUUUGUCUUACUAAUAGAAAAGGGCAUGAUACUCUCAAUUUGUGAUAAAUAUGUAAAUGAGCCAAUUUAUAGUAGCUAAUAGAGUGUUCCCCACACAGCAGGCCUUCAAUAAAGAUUUCUGACCUACUGACA